GAUGAACGCUGGCGGCGUGCCUAAUACAUGCAAGUCGAGCGAACGGACGAGAAGCUUGCUUUUCUGAUGUUAGCGGCGGACGGGUGAGUAACACGUGGAUAACCUACCUAUAAGACUGGGAUAACUUCGGGAAACCGGAGCUAAUACCGGAUAAUAUUUUGAACCGCAUGGUUCAAAAGUGAAAGACGGUCUUGCUGUCACUUAUAGAUGGAUCCGCGCUGCAUUAGCUAGUUGGUAAGGUAACGGCUUACCAAGGCAACGAUGCAUAGCCGACCUGAGAGGGUGAUCGGCCACACUGGAACUGAGACACGGUCCAGACUCCUACGGGAGGCAGCAGUAGGGAAUCUUCCGCAAUGGGCGAAAGCCUGACGGAGCAACGCCGCGUGAGUGAUGAAGGUCUUCGGAUCGUAAAACUCUGUUAUUAGGGAAGAAAAUAUGUGUAAGUAACUGUGCACAUCUUGACGGUACCUAAUCAGAAAGCCACGGCUAACUACGU
rnacentral:rRNA from 1 species